UUCAUCUAUGUUUUUUAGAUAUGGUUUAUCUUUCAUUAUGCCACUAGACGACUUUAAAGGUGCAGAUUGUAUAACUGAUGGAAUGAACAGUGUAUAUUCAGGGACAAUAAAUACCACCAAAAGCGGCCGAAUUUGUCAGAAAUGGUCCUUACAAACUCCUCAUAAUCACGAUAAAACGUGGAUAGGAAAUCAUAACUAUUGUCGAAAUCCACACUUGGAUCCUGGAGGCCCAUGGUGUUUCACUACAGAUGAAAACGUGCGGUUCGAGUAUUGCGACAUCCCAAUAUGUGAAAAUCAUCCAAUCGAAAGAACAAUCU